rnacentral:rRNA from 1 species
UGAGGAAUAUUGGUCAAUGGGGGCAACCCUGAACCAGCCAAGUCGCGUGAAGGAUGAAGGUCUUAUGGAUUGUAAACUUCUUUUAUACAGGAAUAAAUUGGGGGACGUGUCCCCUUUUGCAUGUACUGUAUGAAUAAGGAUCGGCUAACUCCGUGCCAGCAGCCGCGGUAAUACGGAGGAUCCGAGCGUUAUCCGGAUUUAUUGGGUUUAAAGGGUGUGCAGGCGGGAUGUUAAGUCGGCGGUGAAAUUUUGCAGCGCAACUGUAAAAGUGCCUUCGAUACUGGCUUCCUUGAGUGUAGAUGAAGUAGGCGGAAUUUGUGGUGUAGCGGUGAAAUGCUUAGAUAUCACAAGGAACUCCGAUUGCGCAGGCAGCUUACUAAACUACAACUGACGCUCAUGCACGAAGGCGUGGGGAUCAAACA